UACGUAGGGACCAAGCGUUGUUCGGAUUUACUGGGCGUAAAGGGCGCGUAGGCGGCUUAACAAGUCACUUGUGAAAUCUCCGGGCUUAACUCGGAACGGCCAAGUGAAACUGUCAAGCUAGAGUGCAGAAAGGGGGCAAUCGGGAAUUCCCCGGUGUAGCGGUGAAAUGCGUAGAUAUCGGGAGGAACACCUGUGGCGAAAGCGGCGCACUGGACCAUAACUGACGCUGAGGCGCGAAAAGCUAGGGGGAGCAAACAGG
rnacentral:rRNA from 1 species